rnacentral:rRNA from 1 species
AUUGAACGCUGGCGGCAGGCUUAACACAUGCAAGUCGAGCGGAGUGAUGGUGCUUGCACUAUCACUUAGCGGCGGACGGGUGAGUAAUGCUUAGGAAUCUGCCUAUUAGUGGGGGACAACAUCUCGAAAGGGAUGCUAAUACCGCAUACGUCCUACGGGAGAAAGCAGGGGAUCACUUGUGACCUUGCGCUAAUAGAUGAGCCUAAGUCGGAUUAGCUAGUUGGUGGGGUAAAGGCCUACCAAGGCGACGAUCUGUAGCGGGUCUGAGAGGAUGGACCGGCCACCUGGGACUGGGACACGGCCCAGACUCCUACGGGAGGCAGCAGUGGGGAAUAUUGGACAAUGGGGGGAACCCUGAUCCAGCCAUGCCGCGUGUGUGAAGAAGGCCUUAUGGUUGUAAAGCACUUUAAGCGAGGAGGAGGCUCUUUUGGUUAAUACCCAAGAUGAGUGGACGUUACUCGCAGAAUAAGCACCGGCUAACUCUGUGCCAGCCGCCGCCGUAA